GGGUUGUGAGGUUAAGCGACUAAGCGUACACGGUGGAUGCCCUGGCAGUCAGAGGCGAUGAAGGGCGUGCUAAUCUGCGAUAAGCGCCGGUAAGGUGAUAUGAACCGUUAUAACCGGCGAUACCCGAAUGGGGAAACCCAGUGUGAUUCGUCACACUAUCAUUAACUGAAUCCAUAGGUUAAUGAGGCGAACCGGGGGAACUGAAACAUCUAAGUACCCCGAGGAAAAGAAAUCAACCGAGAUUCCCCCAGUAGCGGCGAGCGAACGGGGAGGAGCCCAGAGCCUGAAUCAGCAUGUGUGUUAGUGGAAGCGUCUGGAAAGGCGCGCGAUACAGGGUGACAGCCCCGUACACAAAAGCGCAUGUGCUGUGAGCUCGAUGAGUAGGGCGGGACACGUGGUAUCCUGUCUGAAUAUGGGGGGACCAUCCUCCAAGGCUAAAUACUCCUGACUGACCGAUAGUGAACCAGUACCGUGAGGGAAAGGCGAAAAGAACCCCGGCGAGGGGAGUGAAAAAGAACCUGAAACCGUGUACGUACAAGCAGUGGGAGCACAGGUUUACCUGUGUGACUGCGUACCUUUUGUAUAAUGGGUCAGCGACUUAUAUUCUGUAGCAAGGUUAACCGUAUAGGGGAGCCGAAGGGAAACCGAGUCUUAACCGGGCGUUAAGUUGCAGGGUAUAGACCCGAAACCCGGUGAUCUAGCCAUGGGCAGGUUGAAGGUUGGGUAACACUAACUGGAGGACCGAACCGACUAAUGUUGAAAAAUUAGCGGAUGACCUGUGGCUGGGGGUGAAAGGCCAAUCAAACCGGGAGAUAGCUGGUUCUCCCCGAAAGCUAUUUAGGUAGCGCCUCGUGAAUUCAUCUCCGGGGGUAGAGCACUGUUUCGGCUAGGGGGCCAUCCCGGCUUACCAACCCGAUGCAAACUGCGAAUACCGGAGAAUGUUAUCACGGGAGACACACGGCGGGUGCUAACGUCCGUCGUGAAGAGGGAAACAACCCAGACCGCCAGCUAAGGUCCCAAAGUCAUGGUUAAGUGGGAAACGAUGUGGGAAGGCCCAGACAGCCAGGAUGUUGGCUUAGAAGCAGCCAUCAUUUAAAGAAAGCGUAAUAGCUCACUGGUCGAGUCGGCCUGCGCGGAAGAUGUAACGGGGCUAAACCAUGCACCGAAGCUGCGGCAGCGAACGUAUCACUUAAAGCGAUUCAGCGGGUUACGAUUGACGGAGCGAAGCGACGUCAAAGCGUAUACAAAGUCGAGUCGGUUUAAGGAUACGUUCGUUGGGUAGGGGAGCGUUCUGUAAGCCUGUGAAGGUGUGUCGUGAGGCAUGCUGGAGGUAUCAGAAGUGCGAAUGCUGACAUAAGUAACGAUAAAGCGGGUGAAAAGCCCGCUCGCCGGAAGACCAAGGGUUCCUGUCCAACGUUAAUCGGGGCAGGGUGAGUCGACCCCUAAGGCGAGGCCGAAAGGCGUAGUCGAUGGGAAACGGGUUAAUAUUCCCGUACUUGGUGUUACUGCGAAGGGGGGACGGAGAAGGCUAUGUUGGCCGGGCGACGGUUGUCCCGGUUUAAGCGUGUAGGUGUGUGUUCCAGGUAAAUCCGGUUCACUUUAACACUGAGGCGUGACGACGAGGCACUACGGUGCUGAAGCAACAAAUGCCCUGCUUCCAGGAAAAGCCUCUAAGCAUCAGGUAACAUCAAAUCGUACCCCAAACCGACACAGGUGGUCAGGUAGAGAAUACCAAGGCGCUUGAGAGAACUCGGGUGAAGGAACUAGGCAAAAUGGUGCCGUAACUUCGGGAGAAGGCACGCUGACACGUAGGUGAAGUGAUUUACUCAUGGAGCUGAAGUCAGUCGAAGAUACCAGCUGGCUGCAACUGUUUAUUAAAAACACAGCACUGUGCAAACACGAAAGUGGACGUAUACGGUGUGACGCCUGCCCGGUGCCGGAAGGUUAAUUGAUGGGGUCAGCGCAAGCGAAGCUCCUGAUCGAAGCCCCGGUAAACGGCGGCCGUAACUAUAACGGUCCUAAGGUAGCGAAAUUCCUUGUCGGGUAAGUUCCGACCUGCACGAAUGGCGUAAUGAUGGCCAGGCUGUCUCCACCCGAGACUCAGUGAAAUUGAACUCGCUGUGAAGAUGCAGUGUACCCGCGGCAAGACGGAAAGACCCCGUGAACCUUUACUAUAGCUUGACACUGAACAUUGAGCCUUGAUGUGUAGGAUAGGUGGGAGGCUUUGAAGCGUGGACGCCAGUCUGCGUGGAGCCGACCUUGAAAUACCACCCUUUAAUGUUUGAUGUUCUAACGUGGACCCGUGAUCCGGGUUGCGGACAGUGUCUGGUGGGUAGUUUGACUGGGGCGGUCUCCUCCUAAAGAGUAACGGAGGAGCACGAAGGUUGGCUAAUCCUGGUCGGACAUCAGGAGGUUAGUGCAAUGGCAUAAGCCAGCUUGACUGCGAGCGUGACGGCGCGAGCAGGUGCGAAAGCAGGUCAUAGUGAUCCGGUGGUUCUGAAUGGAAGGGCCAUCGCUCAACGGAUAAAAGGUACUCCGGGGAUAACAGGCUGAUACCGCCCAAGAGUUCAUAUCGACGGCGGUGUUUGGCACCUCGAUGUCGGCUCAUCACAUCCUGGGGCUGAAGUAGGUCCCAAGGGUAUGGCUGUUCGCCAUUUAAAGUGGUACGCGAGCUGGGUUUAGAACGUCGUGAGACAGUUCGGUCCCUAUCUGCCGUGGGCGCUGGAGAACUGAGGGGGGCUGCUCCUAGUACGAGAGGACCGGAGUGGACGCAUCACUGGUGUUCGGGUUGUCAUGCCAAUGGCACUGCCCGGUAGCUAAAUGCGGAAGAGAUAAGUGCUGAAAGCAUCUAAGCACGAAACUUGCCCCGAGAUGAGUUCUCCCUGAGACUUAAAGUCUCCUGAAGGAACGUUGAAGACGACGACGUUGAUAGGCCGGGUGUGUAAGCGCAGCGAUGCGUUGAGCUAACCGGUACUAAUGAACCGUGAGGCUUAACCUUACAACGCCGAAG
rnacentral:rRNA from 4 species